rnacentral:rRNA from 1 species
UACGUAGGGUGCAAGCGUUGUCCGGAAUCAUUGGGCGUAAAGCGCGUGUAGGCGGUCCGGUAAGUCCGCUGUGAAAGUCGGGGGCUCAACCCUCGGAUGCCGGUGGAUACUGUCGGGCUCGAGUACGGAAGAGGCGAGUGGAAUUCCCGGUGUAGUGGUGAAAUGCGUAGAUAUCGGGAGGAACACCAGUGGCGAAGGCGACUUCCUGGCCUGUUCUUGACGCUGAGGCGCGAAAGCUAGGGAGCAAACGGG